AUUGAACGCUGGCGGCAGGCCUAACACAUGCAAGUCGAGCGGAUGAAGGGAGCUUGCUCCUGGAUUCAGCGGCGGACGGGUGAGUAAUGCCUAGGAAUCUGCCUGGUAGUGGGGGAUAACGUCCGGAAACGGGCGCUAAUUCCGCAUACGUCCUUAGGGAGAAAGUGGGGGAUCUUCGGACAUCACGCUAUCAGCUGAGCCUAGGACGGAUUAGCUAGUUGGUGGUGUAAAGGCCUACCAAGGCGACGAUCCGUAACUGGUCUGAGAGGAUGAACAGUCACACUGGAACUGAGACACGGUCCAGACUCCUACGGGAGGCAGCAGUGGGGAAUAUUGGACAAUGGGCGAAAGCCUGAUCCAGCCAUGCCGCGUGUGUGAAGAAGGUCUUCGGAUUGUAAAACACUUUAAGUUGGGAGGAAGGGCAGUAAGUUAAUACCUUGCUGUUUUGACGUUACCAACAGAAUAAGCACCGGCUAACUUCGUG
rnacentral:rRNA from 1 species